rnacentral:misc_RNA from 1 species
AAACAAAAUCCGAACCGACACCUUACUUCUAGCGUGUAAUUUAUCCUUAGAGAAUGGGGAUCAGAAGGAGUGAGUGGGCUUCUAUAACACAGUAGUGGUUCCCGCGAGGGAAACUCGGAUCAAACAACGCGCCUCUUUCCGCUUUUUGGUUUUUGGAAGAGAAUAGAAAGCAAGGGAAUUCAUUUAAACCUCUUUCCUUUUCUGGCUGUUUUUCCCGUGGAAGAAAAGAAAUUAAAGUGAUGGAGGCCGCCAUGGGAUUGAUGAGAAGAAUACACCCUAAGCAAUCGGAGACCGCUCUCUCCGCUCUUCUUAGCCUCCUACCUCAUCACUCCUCCGAUCUCCUCUCCCAAGUCGAUCAGCCUCUCCAGGUUGUAUGUGAUGUGGAUUGUGGAAAGGAGUUCAUAUUGUGUGAAUACAAUAGAGAUGCUGACUCUUACAGGUCACCUUGGUCAAAUAAAUAUCAUCCACCGCUGGAAGAUGCACCUUAUCCAUCUUCAGAGUUGAGGAAACUUGAAAUUGAAGCAAAUGAAGUCUUUGCCAUCUAUUGUGACCAGUAUUAUGAAGGUGGCAUCUCAUCUGUUUACUUGUGGGAAGAUGAUGAUAGUGAAGGUUUUGUAGCAUGCUUUUUGAUAAAGAAAGGUGAGCAUUUCUGCCUAAAUUAGCACUGAGAGUACACAGUUUUAUAUCUCUGACUGGGUUGCUGUUACUUUGAGGAUUAAGAUGGCUCAAAGACAGGACAGGGCAGAAGGGGUUACCUGCAGGAGGGAGCGUGGGAUGCUAUUCAUGUUAUUGAAGUAAAGACUGUAGACUAAUUGGGAUAAAAUUUUCACCUUCCCCUUCUUUUUUAUCCUUCCCAUUUUUCCUUAUAAUUACGGAACAAUAUCACUUCUUAUUCCUCUAUUUCUGAAAUUUUAAUUUGUUCUUUAGGUGGGGCCAGAAGACGAAGGAACAGCCCAUUAUUGUUUGACCAGUACUGUUAUGCUGUCUUUGACUACAAAUGAUGAGUCAUCUGGUACAUUCAGUCUCUCAGGGUCUAUUAGACGACAGGUAUGUUGCAUGUCGUGUUUCUGUCUCCUCCCCUGCCCCCCUCCUCUGUCAGUAUAGAACAGACAAUUUCACUGAGAAGUUAUGUUAAAUUAAAUUUUUAAGAACAGACAUUCAGUCUCUGGUGGGAAAUAACCCUUUUGCUGAUCAUGAGAAGUUAAGUUAAAUUUUUAAGAAUUGCCCUUUUUCCUUCUGAUAAAAAAAAUGUGCCUCUAGAGUGCGAAAACUUUAUAAAUACUGGAUGGUUGAAUCAUGCUAUGUUUACCCAUUUAAUUUUAACGAGCAAGAGGUGUUGGAUAGAAAUUACCUUUUCAUUUCUUGUGAGAUAGACGUUGGCAUGUUCUCAGUGGACCUUAUUCUUUCUCAGUUGUCAGUGCCUGAGAUCAUAAUAUUUUCUUUUUCUUCAUGAAAACUAAAUUUUCCCUCCUAUUUUAAUUGGCACUUGUUACUAUAGAUUGUCUAAUACUGAUAUGUGUGGAACUCAGUGGUGAACUUAAUAAAUUAUUCAAAAUGCUAUAGAAAGCUAUGGUUCAGCAGCAUUCCUUUUUUGCAAGAAAUUAUUGUGUUCAUAAUGUCUGCUGUUGAUUUUGUAAAGUAGCAAUUUGGCAUCCAUUUAUCAUUUUAAGUGAUGACAAGAAGGCUGGAAUACAGCUAUCACCUAUGAAGGUGCAUGUGUAUAUUUAUUCACCAUUGGUUGAAGUCCGAAGUUGACUUGCCAUUUUAUCUUUUGCAGAUGAACAUGGAUCUCGCAAUUGCAGAUGGUCAUCUG